rnacentral:tRNA from 1 species
GGCGGCCAUGGUCUGCUGGGUGAGUCCGGCGGCCUUGCGCGCCUCCCGGAUGCGGGUCCCGAUCGCGUCGCUCGCCUCGGCGGAUCGCACC